UAAUUUACAUAAACAUCAAAAAAUUAAAAAAGAAAGAAAAACAGAAUCACAAACACAGAUUUGCUUAUGAAAGUGAAUUUCUAUUUAGUGAGGAGGAGCCCCGAAGUUGUUUUUUUUUUUUUUUCAGCGUCCUGCAAAUCUGCCUUUGGAAAGGCUCCUCCAAAUCCUCAGGAGACAGUGGGGAGGGAAACUGAGGCAGAGAGAGAGGACGUCACAAGCUCUGCACAGCCACACAGCUGGGGAGUGGAAGGCUAGCCUUUGAACACAGAUUUGUCAAAAAUCAAUACCCACAUUUUACCCCCUACCCUCAGCAGCCCCUUGUAGCGCCACUGAGGUGAGGAAGGCAUUAGGGAGGAAGGAUGAGAGACUGACAGACUGACAGCCAGGGCAGGGCAGUGCUGGAGAGAACACAGGACUGUGGUCAAAGAGACUCUGACCCAAGUCCCAGCUCUGCCCCUUUCUAGCCAUGUGACCUUUCUGGAGUCUCUGUGUCCUCAUGUGUAAAAUGGGGUGACGGAAGAGCAGUUGUGGGUCCUGCGCAAGGCAGUUCUAUUUCUGUCUUCACCUGGAUCUCGUAAGUUCAGCCUGAACCACACUGAUAAUGCCAAUGCCUAAAGCUUGUCUAGCGCUUACUUUGUACCAGACGUGGCUCUGAAUACAGCUACUGAACUUCACAACAGCAUGAUGAGGUAGGUGCCGUGAUCACUCCCAUGUUCCAGAUGAGGAAACUGAGGCCCUGAAUCCAUACCAGGCUCUGGGCUGGGCGCCAGGCAUGCAGUUGUGACACGGGGAUGGUCUUUGUUCCUCAGGACCCCAGAACUCCAGAAGGAUGCUGCUUUGACAAUUCAGAAGCCUUCACCGGUGAAAUGAAGCAGGAGAAGAUGUGGUCCUUAGGGUCACCCCACUGACCAGCUCCUCUCUCCCCAGCUCCCUGACCCCUUGUCCACCCUCACGUCCAGCCAUGAGUCCACACGUGCAAUGUUUACCCGGAGCAGAUGCUGUUCGUGCAUUGCCCCUAUUCCCUCGUUCUGAGGUCCCCUGCUCCGUAAUGACUGUCCCCACUGCAAAGGGGGAUACCCCCUAUCCCGUCCCCAGCCGUCACGUCUCCACUUCCCUGCCUGGAACUUUCUCUGGCACCGCAGGAACCAACUUCCCACAGGGUACCCAGAAACGCCAGGGCCGGAAUGUCCACGGGGGCAGCCUUGACCCAGUGAUGGAUGGUGGCCAGUGACCAAACAUUCCAGCCUACCGGUCACUGGGUAGGACGCCUCUAGGCACACUGCUCACAGUCGCUCAGUGGACCCCCAGGGGGGCCGAGCCCCAGGUGCCCACUGGGUAGCCUGCUCCCUUUUCCCCCUUAUUGGCUUUCCCCUCUUCCCCGUCACACUUUCCCACUCACCCCUCCUUCCCUAGAUUAGCGCCUCCCGGAGAAGCCACAUGCUCCCAUCGUCUGCCCCAUGUCCCCCCACCCCGCUCACCUGCUCUCGCGCUUGUCCAGACAGCAAAUAUGCACGGUACCCACUCUGCCGGACCCUCGUGAGAUAAGGGAGGCACAGCCCUGCCCUUGAGAGCCCGCUAACUUGCGUAGAUGGACACGGGCUCCUGGGGGCCACGACCUGUCCGCCAGGUGGGCUGGGACAAGAGGAGGGUAAGUGCUGAGCUAAGCCACUUCCUCAUCCAGUCAUGGGUCCCCACCCUUGGCUCUCUCCUGUGUGUAACUUUCCAAGGAAGCUUCCGGCAGCCUGGGCUGUGCGCGGCAGGCAGGCAGGAAGAACAAUAGUUAACAUUUGUGCUCGCCUCACUCGAACUGCUUCACACAUAUUAAGCCCAUUCAUCUUCCCAUCCGCCCUGGGACGGAUACUCUUAAUCUGAACUCCAUUUUGCAGAUGGGGAAAGUGAGGGACCAAGAGGCUCCCCCGAAGUGGUACAGGUAAGAAGUAGAGAUUUUGGUCCAGGCAGCAUGACCUCGAGAGCCUGUGGUUCGGCUUCUGUGCUCUACUUUUUGCGGAAGGAGGGAAGGCAGGACGGGUGUCGGUUUGAUGCAGAAGGGAGGAUUCAAAUGCACGUGAGGGCCUGGGCAGAGAAGGCAGGUCAGCACCCCCCAAAAAUGCCUGGACCCCCCCCACUUCCACACCAGUGUGCUUUAGCAUGAAUGCCACGUACACGCAAAGACAAGUCUACACAAAAGUGUGUGUUUCGCUAAAUGCCGCCGUACGUAGCCACCCAAGUGUGUAAAUACGUGCACGCCCUCCGUACCCAGGGGCUUGUUCACACACACGUGCAUGCAUCUGGGCAUCCAGAGGCCACCACACACACACACACACGCACACACACACACACACACACACACACACAGGUUUGCACGUGUGCACAGGCAUCGGCACGCGUGCACAUCCACACACAUCGGUACACGCGAAUACAAAUUAGCGGUCGCUUCGAAUUCUUUGCUUAAAGAAAACUUGUGACUGUAUUAAAAAUGUAGGACACAUUGGCCAAAUAAUUAAAGCGAGGAGCGAGGCAGUGGGACUUCUCACCACUCUCUCGGGGCCGCCUGUGCUGGGCUGUGCUCAGCGUGGCUUCGUCCUAUAUAUUUGAGGAAGAGGCACUUUAUUACAGUAAUUUAUCACCCCCAUAAAUGUGGCUCCUCUGUAACGCGGAAUAAUUUGGGAAGAAAUAUGUGUUAAAAAUUAAAAAUGCAGUCGGCAUGCGCCCCGGCGGGUCUGCAGGGAGACAUCGCCGCACCUCCGGUAACUGCCCGUGUAGCUCUAAUACCUACAACUUCCAUUAUUUAAAGUGUGAUUAUAUUUUUCCUGCUUGGAGCUUUGUCAGCUAUAAAUAAAAGAUAAGGGUGAAUUGUU